rfam:Lysinibacillus contaminans strain DSM 25560 Scaffold1, whole genome shotgun sequence.
UUCACCUUUAAUGGCAGUCCAGAGAGGCUGAGAAGGUACAUGUGAUAGUGUUGUGAAAAUUUGUGAUGCAAAUUUUACAACGCCCUAUUAAAACACGUAUAUAACCCUCUCGAGCCAUGCGCUUUGAGAGGUUUUUUUUAU